UAACAAGCACCCCCAGUCACCACCCCACCUUCCUGACUCCCUAAACUGAGAAUUUUAUGAGCCUACCAUAUUUGGAAUAUCUUAUAGCUUAUGUCUACAAAAUAAUGGACACAUUUUUGGAUUCCUUUUACCAACUCAUUGCUGAACAAAGCAACUAGAGGGGACCCAUAACUGGUUCUAGCAGACAUCAAUUGCCCUGGCCCCCCUCUAAUAAUGAGCCCCUAAACAAGGGAAUCAGCCAGCGUUACAUCUUGUAAGGACAAACAGAAGUGUGCAGUAGCGUUAUCACUAAGCCAAUACCAUUAAAGGCCAGGGUUUAUUGACACUUCAGGUGACUAGAUGAGGCCUCUCCACGCUGAGCUAAUGAGGAGAUCCUCUCCAUUACCUCUUAUCGAGAUUAGCAGCACCCCCAGGCACCCGGUGGAAGUGGAAAUUACUGGGCAAGCAUUGACAUGGUCCAGAUGCUGUCUCUUAGUCAUAAUGCACGCACUUGUGGACACAACCACAGCCUUGAAAGUAGAGCUUCUAAACGUGUUGUUUUUCUCUGUUUGAAAAACCUGCACUCUCAAACAUUGUGCUGUAUUUCACAGAGUGAUGCAGAACAAAUUUUCUGUAGCAAGUCUCUAUUACUUGCUAUAGGCACAUACAUAUACACAAAUAUGCAACCAGCCUUGCUCACACACAUACACAUGCUCUCUUUCACACAUAUAUGCUCACACAUACAUACGCUCACAUAUACACAAUGCAUUCACACGUACUUACACAGACAUACACACAUAGACUCUCAACACAUGCACAUACUUAUACACACACAUUUUCUCUCACACACACACACUGUCACACAUACAUGUUCACUCAAACACUUUCACAUACACACAUGCUUUUACACACUCACACAUGCAGACAUUCACACACACAUAUGCAUCUUAACCCACAUACUUUCAUAUUUGCACUCACACUCACACACUCGUACAUGCACACGCACACACAUGAACAUACGCUUGUUUUUCCUGUUCAGUCUCUCGUAGGAACCCCACUGCAGAUGUGUGCUGACAGGCUCUGUUUUUCAGCCCUGAUCAUCUAAUCAUCUCUGUAAGCUUUUCUGUGGGAGUCACAUUCAUGCUGAAAGCCCAAUUCAAGCAGCAAGCGAGGCCUCGCCGAGUCAACAAGAAACUCCUAAUAUUGGCCAUGACUGCAACUCCCACAGAAACAGAAGGAAGAAGAACGCCAGAGUAGAGAAUAUUCUAUAUUCCCUCCAGAACCAGUGACCAAUGGACAGUUUUUAAUUUUAUCAGGGCCAUGUGUCAGAAAAUACUCCACAAUAUUUCACAGUAAAGACCAACUCCCAAACCAGGAAAUUAAAUGGAUUUUAGUUGAAGUAGUUGCUAACACGUGAGGAGGAAGGUCAGAUUGAAAGACAAUUGAUUUCUGUGAUUGAUAGUGGGCUUUCCCAGAUAUCCGUGAGCACAGUAAUCAUAAUUCUUGGACAACCCAGAAACACAUGGCAAAAAGGAAAAGGUCUUGAGGGAGGUCAGUUCAAAAGUGAAAGAGGGGCUUCCUGCCCCUAACUUUCGUGGCUAUCUGAGGAUUGGAACACGUAGGUAAAAUUUCCCACAGAUGUUUUGCUACCAUUUGAACACCAAGUUUGUUUCCUGUUACCUGUCAGCUUGACUCUGUGUUUUAUGUCUCGGUUACAGCAGGGGUCAUUAGAAGUUUGUCUGCUGUAAGUGAACACAGAAUAGGAAGAUGCUCCUGGGAAAUAUGUUUGCGCAUGUCACACGAAAGCAGGUUUCACUCUGACAAAAAAAUGUGAAGGAAAGGAUCUAAUGUGCUGAGAGCUCAAAACUAUCUGUUAAUAUAAUGAAAUGUGAUUCAUCCUUGUGUGAUUUUUAUAUUCAAAUGACAGAAACUUCAUUUGCAAUGCUAUCUCCUCUAGCAAGCGGUGGGAUAAAAAAGAAACCUUACUGAAAAGAAAUGUAGUUAUAGCCCGUUUCAAUAAACAUUUACCAAAGGUUCAUCUAGGGCAAAAAAGCAGUCUUUUAAGAAUGGCAGUUAAUACAAAGAGCCACCUAAUGGUGAGGGGUGCAUAGCCCUUUCUGUUAGGAAAUAGGAAAGGACUCUAGGGGGACAAGAAGCGAUACCAGCCGUUCAGAGCAGCCAGGUGUGAGGAAGAGCGAUGCUCUGAUGUGUGAACAUCUGUGAGGUGUGACUUGGAGUCCGUGGGAGCCUCCUAUAAAUGAAUGAAGCAGAAUCAUCUGGAACAGUUAACAGGAUGGACUGUGGAUGCUUUCAGCCUUUCCCUUUGCAUGGAAGUACCUGUCCGACCAUUUCAUUCAUACGGGGUCUGUCUUCUGCUCUGCUACCAUUGUAACCAUCUAGGCAUUCAGAUUUGCGCCAUCUGGAUACAAUCUUCGAUGAAAAGAGAUGAAGAUUCAAAUAGGGUGAAGAUUGGAAGGUAGACACACAUAAUAUACCAUUGUUGGUGAAAGAUUUCCAUUUGCUUUCAAACAAGAAUGAGUGGUGAACGAGAAGACCCUGAUUCCUGUCUGAGAUGAAGAAGAAGUCACUCCUACACUGUCCCUUAUCUGGAAAUGAAGAAGGAAUAUGUCAGAACCUGUUUACAUCCUUCCCUGAUGGGAGCUGUGAUCCAUCACUGUGGAUCUCAUGAAAGCUUUGGUGAUCUCAGAGACCUAAACUAGGUCCUCAGAGCCUCCUCUGGGCACCGGGGGUCCUGCUUGUGCAGGCAAACAAUGAGAAUGAAUAUAAGAAGAGCUAACUGCACAUUUCCACUGCUUCUGUUUCUUGGCUAACUUGCAAACGUUGAAGAUUUGGAUAUCAAUGAGUUCUCUUGCUUAAGGAGAAGUGGUGAGCGAGCAGGGGCAGGGCUGAUCUGUCCACACACUUUGGUCACCAAGAGAACAAACGAGCCUCUUUGGGAUACAGUACCAAAUCAUCUCUCUGGCGUUUUAAUUCUUCCAAACAAUAAAUCCUGCCAUCCUUCUGCAUCGCUUUUAAAGACAAACUUAUAAAAUGCUAUUUUGGAGAACCAAAUGAGAUCAAUUAUACCCAGCAGGAAUGAUAUCUAAAUAAGUUGUUCUAGUUAUGAUUAAAACUUUCAGUUGAGAGUUCUGUACGCUCAUUAACAGGAAAAUGGCAUCUUACCCUAUAAACGUGAAAUUAGAGUAAACUGGGCCAUUUAGCUGACAUAAAUCAUUUUGUAUCAUUGCUGUAUUUAGAAAAUUGUACACUCCAAAAUCUUCCUAUUGUAGGAAUUUAUUUGGUGGGUAAAGUGCCAUUCACCUUUUCCACAGCCUCACCCAAAGAAAUACACCGCCUGGGUAGUUAGAGAAUUCCGCACUUUAAAGGAUACAGUUGAUUUAAUGAAAGCCACUUUCUUUCGAAAACCAUGCUUGUUUUUCUAUGGAUGGUUUUACAAACAGCAUGCUAUCUUGGCAAUUUAAAGAAAUCUGCUAAUUUAAUCACAUUUGAACUCUGUUAGCAUUGUUUCUGUGGGUUUUUUUUUUUUUUUUUUUUUUUUUGUCUUACAGUGAUGGCUUUAUUCUGUAGAUAUCUUAACUUACUCCAUGCCUGUGUUUCUGAAACAGAAACUUAUGGGCCAGGUAAAUAAUAAUGAGCAGGCAGGCUCUGCAUUGGUUCAUAGCACUUGGGCUUGGGUUCUCAACCUGUGGGUCACAACCCCAUUGGUGGCUGAAUGACCCUUUCACAGGGGUCAAAUAGCAGAUAGUUUGUCUAUCGGAUAGUUACAUUACUAUUUAUAACAGUAACAAAAUUACAUUUAUGAAAUAGCAAAGAAAAUAAUUGUAUGGUUGGGGGAGUCACCAUAACAUAAAGAACAGUACAAGAACUUGCCUUAGACAAGUUGACAACCACUGAUUUAGAGUCUGGGAAGCUCUAGAAAGGUCCGUGAAAGAGUCAGCAUCCUGAAGCCUGUAUAGUGUGCAUGAAAUAGCAGAAAGCACCUUAGCAAAGAGGAGAGAGAGGAGGAGGCAGAACUGGCCUUUUUUUUUUUUUUAUCAAGAACCCUCUCUGAAUGACAGAAGCAGUCAAGGCUUGAGGGCUGUGUCCUCGUAGCCAUCCCCAGAAAGCCCCCACCUUUUCAUACUGUCACAAUGCUGAUUAAAUUUUAGUAGGAGUCUUGGGGAAAAGGUCAAACAAUAACACAAGGAAAACAGGAAAAGGCUAAAAGAUAGAAACUAUUAGUAUUAUUGGGGGGGGAGGAUUUUUCGAGACAGGGUUUCUCCAUAGCUUUUUGGUUCCUGUCCUGAAACUAGCUCUUGUAGACCAGGCUGGCCUCGAACUCACAGAGAUCUGCCUGCCUCUGCCUCCUGAGUGCUGGGAAUAAAGGUGUGCGCCACCACCACCCGGCAGAAAACUAUUAUUGUAGACUCAUUUUGACCCUCUACCCAAGGAUAGUUUGCACAUGAUUAAUAUAAUAUAAUAUAUAGUAUAAUAUAAUAUAAUAUUGUAUUAUUGUACUGUAGAUUUCUCACAUUUUAUUAAUUGGGGAUAUACUUUAUUUAUCUAUUGCCAAUCCAAGAGUGAUUUCUAGAGUUACACAGCGGAGUACUACACAGGGGUAAAAAGUAAUGACAUUUUGAAAUUUGCAGGCAAAUGGAUAGAUCUAGAAAAGACUUAUUGAAUGAGGUAACCCAGACCCAUAAAGACGAAUAUAAUAUGUACUCACUCAUUAGUGGCUUUUAGACAUAAAGCAAAGAAAAACAGCUUAUAGUCCACAACCCCAGAGAACCUGAACAACAAAGAAGACCCUAAGAGGAUCUACGUAGGAAGGAGAAAAAGACAAUAUCUCCUAAAUAAAUUGAGAGUGUAUGGGUCAUGGGGGAGGGUAGAGUGGGAGAAGGGAGGGAGGAAGGAAGCAGAGGAAGAUAGCUCAAUAAAAAACAAUAAGAAUCUUAACAUAAAAAAGAGUGAUUUCACUCAAGGGAAUUGAGUGUAUUAUUUCAACACUUUUUAAUGAAUGGGGUUUAAGAGUUUGGAAUAGGGAAUGGCACUGAGCAACUUAGACACUAGCUCUGAGAACGGAUCCAUAGCUGGCUGAAGGCUUCCGUUCCUGUCUUAAAGAUUUCUUCCACUCAUCAUCAGUUAGUUAGUUCCCAUUGCAUGGCCCUUUCUUGUGUGAUAGAGGGAGGCAUCCAUAAACAAUGUCUGUCUUACCCAAACCAUAAGAUGGCCCAUGUCUCUCCUCAAUAAAUUUGGAGCACUCCUACAUUAUUGGGAAGAGUUGUAUUUUGAACUUCGAAUUAUAAUAGCAAGAGUAAAACACAUUAAAUCUGACAAAAAUAUUCAUUCCCAGAAGAAAUUGCAGAAGAUUUAUGAUCUUUAUCUACACUGGUUAUUGAAAUUCAUAUUUAUUUUGUCCUUUGGGCAUAGAGUUAUUUCAACUAAAAUAGCUUAUUAAUUUAGAGAAUUCCAAUUACCAGCUUUUAGAACAGAUCUACUUUGUAAUUUAUUAACUUUGAUGAUUGAUAUAUCUUCCAAAAACCUUCUUUAGUAAUAACUAUUUAAGCUUAUGGCCUGACAUACUUAAAGGAAAGAUUGAACUAAAUUUUAAAUAUUAGAAUUUACUUAAAGAGAGACCAUGGUCUACUUAAUAUGUUUUUCCUUAAAGUGUGGUGAAGAAAAACUAGGAUCAAGAUGUUCAGUUCAAUAUGGUCAAAAAUCAUCGUGUUUGUGUCUGUGGUGGGGGUGAGGGUGUAUAUGUGUACACUCUUGGUAACUAUGGAAACAAACGAAAAGGUCUGAAUUGGGGAAACAUUUACACAAUGGAGAAGAGAGGAGGAACUCGCCCUAAAUAAGGAAGUUGCAAAUGAAAAAUGAAGGUAUUUUGAAGAAAAGCAAAAAUUGAGCCAAAAAUAUAACUGUCUAAGAUUAUUAUGGAUGAUAUACAUUCACACAUGUAAUACAUAUGAUUGUAAAACAGUUUCUUGGGUUUUCUAGGCAUUAAAGAAAACAUAUAUACCUCUAUGUUUUAUUCUUCAGUAAUCUUACAUCCAAAUUUUCAUAUCUAUUACCUCUUGCAGUUGUCAAGUCCUUCAAGACACACAGUUCUGAGCAUGAUUCUGAACUCAGCUUUCCAGUUGCUAACCUCUAGCUUCCAUUUGCCCUAACUCCUUGAGUUAAUCAUCGCAUUUAAUCUCAUCUUUUAAAACCACCAAUACAAACUAGUUAAGGAGAAAUACUGUGUGCCUUCAUGUGUGUCUAUCUAAAUAUAGCAUAUAGGACUUCUAAUCAGCAAUAAAUAUCAUACUUAUCUUUUCUGUAUGCAUAUUGCAUAUUAUUAUAAUAAUGCAUUCCUAUUUCUUCCUACAUUUGAAGAAGAGCUAGCAGCUCCAGCGGCCAUUUAGGUCUUAGGAGGAUGUGUAGGAGGAUGUGUCAACUCCAUCUAUAUCAAUAGACUCUGAGUCUUCUUUGACGCUACCAACAAGCCAAUAUAGGCAAAGCCUCAGACUGAAUCUUGCAGAAUAGACACUGAGAGAAGGCUGUGUAUGUCAUAGCUUAGUUGGAACAUGAUACCAGGAAGUACAGGGAAGGCCAGGAAGUGAGAGCACACAUCUAUGGUAGAACAUGGGGCUGAUGGUCAAGGCAUGCAUCAAAAGUGACUACUUUUUCCAAAAUUCCCACUUGUUAUUGAUUGAAGACUGUUUCAAUGAACAAAGUGUUUUUAAUGCUUGCAAUCUGCCCUAUGGAGUUGGGGACAAAUCUGACCUCACUUCCAUAUUUGAGGCCAAGGCUAUGGUAGGAAAAGUCAGUAUUUAGGGAAUAUGAAAGAAGCAUCAGCCAUGAUAACUACCAAUACCAAUACAAAGACAGGAAUAGAAUUUGGAGGAGUGAUUUUCUUAGUACUAUUUGCUAGCUUGCAUUAGUUGUUGUUAUUGUUUGCUUCUGUUUUUUUUAAAUAAGAGCAAGAAUAGAGAUUCAAGAGGACAAUGAAAUUUCACUGUGACUUUCUUGAUUGUCAAUUAUAUUCUUAGUUUAAUUAACAUAUUCAUAUUUUCAUGCAGGAAUAUAUUUCAAAGUCAAAUAUAAAUGACAUUUACACUGCUGCUGUGACAUAUUCCUAUAGAUUUCUUGAGACCUGGUCUCAUGGUCUCUUGUAGACAAGGCUGGCCUCAAAUUCACAAUGUAGCGGAGGAUGAUCAUCAACUUCUGACCUUCCUGUGUCUAACUCCUAAUUUCUGGGAUCACAGGCAACCAUACCAGGUUUUUAUGCAGCGCUGAGGAUCAAAAACUGGAUUUCAUACAUGUUAGGCAAGCAUUCUACCAACGCAGCUACAAUCCCAGCCCUACACAUCACCCCCUUUUAUUAUUAUGUCUGGAGAGGCAGGGAUGGUGAAACAUCUUGUAAGCCAGGAAGAAAAGAGAGCAUGUGGGAUGAACGCUUUACCUCCUACUCUGCAAUUCCUUUUUUCUGUAGUUUCUACUGAGUACAGACAGCCUAGUUCCAUCUGGUUCCUGUGCCCUGUAACACUUUCAAUAUUUGAACCUUAUCUUCUGAUAUAAACUUCGGGCUAACUUUCCUCCAGGCCUUCUGCCCUGAUCCCUCUGUAUUUCCAAUACUCAGCUGCUGUCAAACUUGUGAGAAAUAAAAGAUUUUUUUACAGAUCCUGAGCAAAGAUCACAGACACGAACCUAGUUUAAAAUUACAAAAUCGAUAUUUUUAAAAAAGGAAUGAAAAACCCCAGGAAACCUCCAGGUUGUCUAAAAAGUCCUUAGUUCAAAGGUAGUAAUUCAGGGAUGAGGCUAAGGAUCUGAGUGUCAAUAGAAUUCUGGGUUUGAUAGGAAAUGAACGAUCUUUUUCAUGGUGGUUUGGGACUCUUUGACUUUAUGACCAUUGUACAAGGUGAAAGUGUGGGUGAGGGUGUUGGGGCUAGAGAAAGAAUGUGCAGAGGAAAGUUCAUCUUACCUCCCUCUAAUGCAGGCUCCUUAUUUUCUUAUAGAAGAAAAUAAGCAAAUUAACUUUAUUAUAAAACUCUCAGCAGUUUAGACAAAGAUUCUGUUUAAUACAAAGCUAAACUGGUAGGAGCUAACAGAACUGGUUGAAUAUAGAAACCACUGGGUUCUGCACUUUGAGGAUAUUAGCAUGUAGUCUUCAAGAUUUUGCAGAAAGAGUGUUGCUGUGCAGUUGGUAUGAAUUCUUCUAGAACCGACGCGAUGCAAGGCUCACUAUUCUAAGAAAAUGAAAAUACAUUGAUGUGUCUUCCUAUAGAGUUGGCUCAAUUUUGUCUUGGACCAGAUGGAAUAGUAUUGCUAACACAGACUACUUGUUUCAGAAUAUUAUCUUCCUCCAGUCUUUUGAGUGAGUUCCAUGAGUCAACAGUCCACCAUGCUAGCCCUACCUGGCGAAUUACCUCAGACUCUGUUCUCCAGGCAAAUCUUUUAUUCUUGUAGAAUUUGAAUCCCUGUUCUGAGAAAUUGUUAUUUUGUUUUUGACUACCCAGAAACCCAAGUUUUCACAAACUCUCAACCCAUUCCUCAAUGGGAAUCUUGCCAGGGUGGGCAGCACCAAUGUCUGGAGAUUUGCCACUACUAGGUCAUCCUUGAAUAUGUUCUCGGGCUCUUAGCAUCUUUUCCCUAGGAGCAGUCCUUACAAACCAGUUACUCAGAAUUCUUUAUUGAUAAAUGUACAGCUCCUGGGGAAAGUCCCUCUGUUUCUAAACAGAGCUAUAGGCAGAGUUUUCUAAUCUAACAUAUACUUUCAGACCUAGGCCAAACAUAGCUACAUUUGUUCUUAUUUUAAUAUUUUUUUACAGUGCAUAACAAAAAAUCCCACUUCAGUGAAACCCACAUUUUAGCCCUAGUGGAUAGAUUUUGAGGUGGUCCAGCAGUACUUAUAGGAAGGGGCAGCAUCACUGAAGCCAAAUAAGGAGAAGCAAUAAGUGGGCCGUGCUGGGAGUGGAGCCUCUACUGUGUCAGGAGCCCUUCAGCAAUCCUGGUUCAAGAGCACAGGGUCAGGGGAGACAUAAAAGUGUGGCUGGAUUCAUGUUGAGGUCUUUGAUUCAUUUGGACUUGAGUUUUGUGCAUGGGGAUAGAUAUGGCUCUAUUUGCAUGCUUCUAUAUGUUGACAUCUAAGCACUGGGCCGAGUUCCUGGAGCCCAGUCAUAAAGAGGAAGGAGCAAUAAUAUGAGCAAAGGGGUCAAGACCAUGAUGGGGAAACCCACAGAAUCAGCUGACCUGAGCAGGUGGGAGCUCACUGACUCCAGACUGACAGUUGGGGAACCUACAUAUGACCGAACUAGGCCUGCUGAAUGUGGGUGACAGUUGUGUGACUUAAGCGGUUUUGGGGGCCACUGAUAGUAUUUAUCUUUUUUUUUUUAUUUUUUUUUAUUGAGAAUAAGAAAAAAAAGUUUCCGCCUCCUCCCAGCCUCCCAUUUCCCUCCCCCUCCCCCCAAUCUUCUCCCCCUCCCCCUCUCUUCUCCCCCUCCCCCCACUCCUCUCACCCUCCCUCUCCUAUCCAAAGAGCAGUCAUGGUUCCCUGCCCUGUGGAAAGUCCAAGGUCCUCCCCCCUCCGUCCAUGUCUAGGAAGGUGAACGUCCAAACUGGCUAGGCUCCCACCAAGCCAGAACAUGAAGUAGGAUCAAAACCCCUUGUCAUUGAUCUUGGCUUCUCAUCAGUCCUCAUUGUUCGCCGUGAUCAGAGAGUCCGGUUUUAUCCCAUGCUGUUUCAGUCACAGUCCAGCUGGCUUUAGUGCAUGAACUGGCUUUUUGGAGCCCAUUCCCUGUGGAGUGAUACCUUGCUCAGCCUAGAUACAGGGGAGGGCCUUGGUCCUGCCUCAAGUGAUGUGACAGAUUUUGUUGAAUCCUCAUGGGAGGGGUGCAAGGAUCCUAGCAGGAAAGGAGAGGGAACUGAAAUUGGUAUGUAAAAUAAGAUUGUUUUAAAAAUUAUAAAAAUAAGAUAAUAAAAUAAACCUUUAAGCAAAGAGAAAAAUGGGGUGAUAUCCUUGGUGGAAGGCAUAUACUAUUAAACCAAGAUUGGGAAAUACUGUGUCAAAUAUUUGCUAUUUAUGCCUAGGACAGAGUCAGCAUAGAUUUCUCAUGGAUUCACCAGGGCACAGAUGCAGCAAGAAAGAAUAUAUAUUCUUUUGUUUCUCAGAAAACAGAGAGAUCAUAUGCCUUCCUUGUCCAAGACAGAUGAGUUUCCACUUGAAAUCUCGGGGUUUUCUGUUUUUCUUCUUACUUUCUAACAUGCCUCACUUUGGCCUAAGCAGGACCUGGUCAAUCCUUCAAAUGAGUUCAACUCAAUUCUAAGCAUAACCAUUAAAGUCUUAGAAUGAAGAUAAUAUUCUUCCAGACCCAGACUAAACUGGCUUAGUUUUCAGUAUAUCAAAGUAACCAAGCCUUGUCAAAAGUUGUUGAUCACAGAGGCUGAAGAGCCUAAGAGCACUUGCUGCCUUUGCAGAAGACCAAGUCUGAUGUGGGAUUUCUCUCUGUAUGCUAUAAUUACCAUUGAUUAAUAAAGAAGCUGCUUUGGACCUAUAGCAAGGCAGAACUUAACUAAGUAAGAAAACUAAACUGAAUGCUGGGAGGAAGAAGGCAGAGUCAGAGAGAAGCCAUGUGGCCCCACCAGAGACAGACACCAGAACUUUAUCUGGCAAGCCACAGCCUUAUAAACACAGAUUAAUGGAGAUGGAUUAGUUUAGGAUAUGAGUUAGCCAGAAAUACACUUAAGAUAUUAGCCAAACAGUAUUACAAAUAAUAUAGUUUCUUUGUGAUUAUUUCAGAGUUGAGCAACCAGAAAUGAACAAGUGGUCUCCUACUACACAAGUUUCCAACACAUACGUGACAACUAACUGGAAUUCCAUUGCAGAGGCUCAAAAAACCCUCUUCGGGCCUUUUUGAGUAUUAGAAUAAUCAAAGAUUAUUAGAAGUGGAGAGAAGACUCCUUGGUUAAGAGCGCUUGCUGCUCUUUCAAAGGACCCAGAUUCGGUUCCUUGCACUUACACAGAAGCUCAAAACCAUCUGUAACUCCAGUUCCAGUGGGUCUGAUG